CCCUGUAUUCGAAAGUGAUUGUGGGUUGCCUGAGCUCUGGUCAUUGAUAGUGCAGGGAGAGGAAAGCCUUUCCCCAUGUUUGGGGGUCUAUCCUGUCCCUUCCAAACCCUGGUGCUUUCAUGCA